GAUGAACGCUAGCGGGAGGCCUAAUACAUGCAAGUCGAGCGGUAGAGUGACUUCGGUUGCUUGAGAGCGGCGAACGGGUGAGUAACGCGUACACAAUCUACCUUUAAGAGGGGAAUAGCCCUGGGAAACUGGGAUUAAUGCCCCAUGGCAUCACGAGACGGCAUCGUUUUGUGAUUAAAGCUGAGGUGCUUAGAGAUGAGUGUGCGUCUGAUUAGCUAGUUGGUGCGGUAACGGCGCACCAAGGCGACGAUCAGUAGGGGGCGUGAGAGCGUGGACCCCCACACGGGUACUGAGACACGGGACCCGACUCCUACGGGAGGCAGCAGUAAGGAAUAUUGGUCAAUGGAGGAAACUCUGAACCAGCCAUCCCGCGUGCAGGAAGAAGGCGCUCAGCGUUGUAAACUUCUUUUGGAUGGGAAUAAUAACCUCUACGAGAUAGGGGCUUGAAGGUACCAUCAGAAUAAGCACCGGCUAACUCCGUGCCAGCAGCCG
rnacentral:rRNA from 1 species